rnacentral:rRNA from 1 species
CGUGAGGGAAAGUUUCAAAGCACUUUGAAAAGAGGGUGAAAAGAACCUGAAACCGUUAUGGGGGAAGCGUAUUGGGUCAAAUUGAUUUGGGGGAGUGCUGCUGUUCAACGGGGUGAUUCCCGUGUACUCAGUGCAUUUUCUUACCCGUCGUGUGCUUUGGAUGGUCGAUUUUGGGCUGUCUGGGGCUGAGGGAUCCCCUUUUAUAGGGUGAAGACGAUGGGGCGCUGACACGAUACGACCCGUCUUGAAACACGGACCAAGGAGUUCAGCAUGUGUGCGAGUCAAAGGGUGAUUAAACCUGGGGGCGCAGUGAAAGCAACUUUUGUGUAAGGGAAUCCAACAUUAAGCAGUUUCAGGCGGCAUACGAUCGUUGAUUGUAGGACUGACCUAGAGCACAUGUGCUGAGACCCGAAAGAUGGUGAACUAUGCCGGAGUAGGGCGAAGCCAGAGGAAACUCUGGUGGAGGCUCGUAGCGGUGCUGACGUGCAAAUCGCUCGUCUGACUCGGGUAUAGGGGCGAAAGACUAAUCGAACCAUCUAGUAGCUGGUUUCCUCCGAAGUUCUCUCAGGAUAG